UACAUAGGGUGCAAGCGUUAUCCGGAAUUACUGGGCGUAAAGCGAGCGCAGGCGGAUUUUUAAGUCUAAGGUGAAAUAGUGUGGCUCAACCAUGCUGUGCCUUGGAUACUGGAAGUCUAGAAUUUUAGAGAGAGAGGCGGAACUCCAUGUGUAGCGGUGGAAUGCGUAGAUAUAUGGAAGAACACCAGUGGCGAAAGCGGCCUCUUGGCUAAACAUUGACGCUUAGGCUCGAAAGCGUGGGGAGCAAAUAGG
rnacentral:rRNA from 1 species